rnacentral:rRNA from 1 species
UACGUAGGGUGCAAGCGUUUAAUCGGAAUUACUGGGCGUAAAGCGUGCGCAGGCGGUUUUGUAAGUUUGUCGUGAAAGCCCCGGGCUCAACCUGGGAAUUGCGAUGAAGACUGCAAGGCUUGAAUCUGGCAGAGGGGGGUAGAAUUCCACGUGUAGCAGUGAAAUGCGUAGAGAUGAUGGAGGAACACCGAUGGCGAAGGCAGCCCCCUGGGUCAAGAUUGACGCUCAUGCACGAAAGCGUGGGGAGCAAACAGG